UACGGGGGAGCAAGCGUUGUUCGGAUUUACUGGGCGUAAAGGGCGCGUAGGCGGCCAGCACAAGUCAGUUGUGAAAUCUCCGAGCUUAACUCGGAAAGGUCAACUGAUACUGUGCGGCUAGAGUGCAGAAGGGGCAACUGGAAUUCUUGGUGUAGCGGUGAAAUGCGUAGAUAUCAAGAGGAACACCUGCGGCGAAGGCGGGUUGCUGGGCCGACACUGACGCUGGAUGCGGCGAAAGCCAGGGGAGCGAACGGG
rnacentral:rRNA from 1 species